GUGUGGUCUAAUGGAUAUGGCGUCAGACUUCGAAUCUGAAUAUUGCGGGUUCGAUUCCCGUCAC
rnacentral:ncRNA from 13 species